UAUGGAUGAAGAGCAGAAAAGCAAGGGAGUGAACGCAGAAUGGACAGACAUGAAAAGGAGGCUUCAUUUCCAGCAACCACCCUCACAGUCACCGACGGGAAGAACUCCAGGGUUAAUCUUCAUGAACCUCUCCUUUCUGCUUCCUAACUUCAGAAGCAAUGUGACCAGUGGUCCCGGGCCCCUCCCAACACCUGUGAGGAUGGACCGUUCCCUCACACUGGGAGCCAGCAGUAAACCCUUACUUCCUGAAGUUGCUUCUGUGGGGGCAUUUUGUCUGAGCAACAGGAAAUGUACACACUCCCUCCGUGAAUGGCAACCCUCCAUGGUGAGCAAGGCGCUGGAAAUACGCCAAGUCCCGUGGCCCGGUAUAUCCCUAUCCGCGGCAAGGAAGAUGUGGAUGUCUCCGUGGAGGGAUGAAAAGCUGACCAACACACCAGUAUAUUCUACAAAGUUGCGACAACUGCGACUCCAUUUUCAAUCUCUGCGUGGGACUGGCGACUGUGUAUCGGAGCUCCCCUUCAGUGCCUUUGCCACAGGAGACCUAAAAGCAAACAGCAUUUAUUGCUCAGUUUCCUGAAGUAAUCCCCCAAACAGACUUAUCUUGUUGUGCUAAGGAAAAAACAAACAAGCAAAUAAAAAAAGGUAUGAAGUAAUACUGCAUCAUAAUCUUAAUUUGGAUUUCUCCAAAGGCAACAACACCCAUCAAACAUCUCGGCAUAGGAAACAGGAAGAGUGCCACACUGGGCAUGGCUUGAGCAUCUGAGACCUCAAAGCCCGCCGCCAGUGACCCACUUCCUCCAACAAGGUCUCACCUACUCCUAAUAGUGCCACGUCCUAUGGGCUCAUGGGAGCCACUUUUAUUCAAACCACCACACCUAGGAUAAGUGCCUUGUCCAGUAGUCACUCCAAAGGCUUCCUCUGGCAGCAGAUGGUACCGGAUGCAGAGACCCACCACCAGACAUUAGGCAGAGAUAGAAUCUAAAUCGGAGGACUCCAUCGGGCCCCUCUCCUCAUAGCUUGGGGAAUCCUGAAGAAGAGUGGGCAGGAAGAUUGUAGAAGCCAGAGGGAAUGGAGGACACCAGGAGAACACAGCCUACCCAAUCAACCAAGCAGGGCUCAUGUGGGCCACAGAGAUGGACCCAGCAAGCACUGGGCAGGCCACAGAGAUGGACCUGCAGGGAUCUGCACUAGGUCCUCCUGGGACUCCUCUUCCUGUUACUUGCUUUAUUCAGCCUCAGUGUGGGAGCUUUUUUUCUUGUAUUGUUCUGUUUUGUUUUGUUGUGUUUGGUUGCUGUUUAUUGGAGGCCUGCUUUUUUCUGAAGGGAGAUGGGAUUUGGUGGGAGGGAGGAUUGGGAGAAAUGGAGGGAGGGAAAACUGUGGUCAGGAUGCAUUGUUUGAGAGAAGAAUCUACUCUCAAUAAAAAGACUCAGCACAGACACCCAAAUUAAUUCAUCCACUCAACAAUUUUUACAAUGUAUUCUGACCAUAUGCAUCCCAUAAUUUAUUUCACUGAACCCCCUUUUCUUCCCAAACAACCCCCUCCUAUUUUCAUGUCUUUGGGUGCUUGUGUGUUGACCCAAAAUGUUAUUCUGCCACCUCUGAUUGAUUAAGAGAAGCCCAAAUGUAAAGAGUGUUCUAUGUAUGGGCCAGAACACGGAAGCACAAAUCAGCAAACAACAUUUCACAAUUCAUUUAGAGAUUGUCAGUCUCAAAAUAUACUUCACUUGUUUGACCAAUAAAAUUUGUCAUCAUAAACACCA